CAAAAAAUCGCGUUAGGGGGGAAAAUAAGUUUGAGAAACGCUGAUUUUUAAUAUGGCUUCAAAACAACAACAACAUCACGAGAGAACAAAGUAGCAGUGAUUCAUAAACGUAUUUUCCACCUUAAUAAUUGUAGUUUGGUUGCUAGGGAGGGUAUUGAUAACAAACAUCGAUAAAAUAUA